rnacentral:lncRNA from 1 species
CAAACCCCAUAAACCUAACUUGUUGUCACUAUUCACGCUCACCCCGAACCCAACAAAUAUGGUAACAUGAAAUUAUGGUUUUGUACACUGACCCACGAAGAAAUGGCCCGAAAAGGCAUCAGAACGGUAGACCUACUGCACGGCGGGGUCGACCUCACAAUUAUCCAAGCCCGCUGCAACUUGGACAUGUUCUCUGAGAGCUUCCACCCCUGCUUCAACAUAAUUUAAUUUUAAUUCCUUAAUAUGAAUUAUAAGUCAUCUUCGAUUGUACAUAUUCUGAACAAAGAUGGUCUACCUUGCCCACAUUAAAUUGAGUCUUUGUUGGAGUGAUCUAGGGUGACAUAUAGUUGUUGCUUGUGUCGGUCCUUGGCCUUAUAUCACUAUGAUGUUUGUUGUCUCUCUGGUUUGUAGGUAUGUUAGUCCUCUAUGUGGGCUUUCCUGUUGUAUUUUGGUUUUGUCCUGUUGUAUUUUGGUGUCAAAUUUUAAAUGAAAAUAUCAGUACUACCAAAUAAUUUAUCCUCCUCUUCAUCCCCAUAUCUCCAAGCGAACUGAUUUCUCUCUCUUUUCUCCUCCUCUUCCUCCUUUUUCUGUCUCUAACUGCACCUAAUACUCAUCCUUUGAAACCAAACUCUUCAAUCCCCUAUUUAUAUUUUCUCGCAAGGCUGUGCAGAAAAUCGAAUCUGCAGAGAGACAAUCCGAAGGUGGUCUCGCCGGAGCUUUGCAGCAGAGGUAGAGGGAUGGUUGAUGAGCCCAUGAAGAAGGGACGGUUGAUGUUUGACAUUAAGCAUAACCUCUUUUACUGGGGAAGGAUAAAUUGGUAAAUUACAAAUAACCGCAAUAACUUCAGUGGAAGGUGAAAAAA